ensembl:lncRNA
CGGGGGGCUCCAACAGGCCCCCCUCAUCCCCAUCCAGCCGCGCAAGGUGCAGUGCAAGGUGCUGGUGCUGUGCAAGGAGCUGUGCAAGGUGUUGGCGCAAGGUGCCGUGCAAAGGCCCUGUGCCAGGUAAGCUGCUGUGCAAGGUGCUGCGCGAGGUGCUGCCGCUGUGCAAGGUGUCGGUGCAAGGUGCUGUGCAAAGGCCGUGCCAUGCAAGGUGCUGCCACUGUGCAAGGUGCUCUGCCAAGUGCCGGUGCCGUGCAAGGUGCUGUGCAAGGGGUUGUGCAAACACCCUGCUACGGCAGGUGCCACGCAACAGCCCCGUUGUUCAGGGAGUUGUGCGAGGCGCUGUGCAAAGGCCCCGCUGUGCAAAACGCUGUGCAAGGUGCCGGUGCUGUGCAAGGUGCCAGGGCUGUGCAAGGUGUCAGGGCCGUGCAAGGUGUUGUGCAAGUGCCACGCAAAGGCCCUGCUGUGCAAGGUGCUCUGCAAGGUGCUCUGUGAAGUGCUCUGCAGUACGAGGCACUGUGCAAAGGCCCCGUUCAAGGCGUUGUGCGAGGUGUUGUGCAAAGGCCCUGCUGUGCAAGGUGUCUGCAAGAUGCCGGUGCUGUGCAAGGUGCCGUGCAAGGUGCCGUGCAAAGGCCCUGCUACUAAAGGUGCUGUGCAAGAUGCCAGCGCUGUGCAAGGUGCUGUGCAAGAUGCCAGCGCUGAGCAAGGUGCUGUGCAAGGUGCCAUACAAGGUGCCGUGCAAAGGCCCUGCUGCGCAAGGUGCUGUGCAAGAUGCCGGUGCUGUGCAAGGUGCCAUACAAGGCUCCGUGCAAAGGCCCUGCUGUGCAAGGUGCUGUGCAAGACGCCGGUGCUGUGCAAGGUGCCAUGCAAGGCUCCGUGCAAAGGCCCUGCCGUGCAAGGUGCUGUGCAAGGCGCUCUGCAAAGCGCCGCUGCAAUGCGAAGUGCCACGCAGAGGCCCUGCAGCGCGAUGCAUUGUGCAAGGUGCAGCCCGAGGAGUUGUGCAAGGAGUUGUGCAAGGCGCCACGCCACGCACGGUCAGGCUCCCUGCAAGCUGCGAGCAGCGGGGCACAGAGGGGCAGGGUCCGGGGGGGGGGGGGGGGGGUGCGGUGCCACCCAGGCGAGGCAUCUUCCGGGUGCAAACGGAGCCGCCAUAGGGCCGGAGCCGCCCUUCUCCGGGCACCCGAGGGUGACCCCACGGAGUCGCCGGGGUCCCCGCCACGCAGCGGGGGCCCGCCGGGCGCCCUCCCCGCCGGGCUGGGCCGGCCCCGCUGCCGGGAAGUCCCCGCGGCCUCCUCGAGGCCCUGGUUCCACAAAGGCGCCCGCUAACGCUAACGAAGCCGGGCGCACGCGAGAGCAGCGGCGCUGCUGCAGCGGGGCCGAGCAGGAAACAAUUACUCACGGCGCCCGCCCGCCCGCCGCGGGGCCACCCUGCACCGGGGGUGUGGGACACGGGGUGGCCCCACCCUGGCGGUGCGGGGACCCCAAAGCACCGUGGUGUGGGUGCAGGGACCCCGAAGCCCUAUGGUAUGGGUGCGGCAGCCCACAGCCCAGUGCUCUGGGUGCGGGGACCCUAAAGCACCACGCUCUGGGUGCAGGGACCCCGCAGCCCUAUGCAGUGGGUGCAGGGACCCCAUAGCCUCAUGUUGUGGGUGCAGGGACCCUAAAGCACCAUGCAGUGGGUGCAGGGACCCUAAAGCACCAUGCUCUGGGUGCAGGGACCCCAAAGCCCUGUGCUGUGGGUGCAGGGACCCUAAAGCACCACGCAGUGGGUGCAGAGACCCCAAAGCCCUACUCUGUGGGUACAGCACCCCAUAACCCCACACAGUGGGUGCAGGGACCCCA